UUAAAUUGAAGAGUUUGAUCAUGGCUCAGAUUGAACGCUGGCGGCAGGCCUAACACAUGCAAGUCG
rnacentral:rRNA from 66 species